UGUAGAAAAAGGUAAUAUUACCCUUGAAAAACUAAGUGAGAACAUGUCUCUCAAAUUAUAUUAGGACUCACAACAAAGCUAUUGAUGCUGUUCUAAUAGUAUCCACCUAAGUUGCUUCAUAAAUUUUCUUGAAAAAACCAUAUAUAUGUACCACAAUUUUUACAAAUUAAUGUGAUGUUGCUUUGACAAUAAACACAAUUAUUUCAAAAUUUUUAUCAAAUGUUUUUUAAACGUUCAAGGCCCUCAUGAAUUUCAGUUUGCAACCCCUUUCCUCACCCUUAUUCCCUCCAAGCCAUAUCACCACACACAAAAAAAAUAAACAGCCCAUUUGUUCAAAACCCCUAACCCCAGCCCAGUAGCCUACAUUCCCCUCAUCACCAAACCCGUGUCACCCCCUUUGUUUUUUUUUUCAUUUCAAAAUUUCGGGCAAGAAAACCCUCUUCUUCCCUCACCUUCUCCCUCCUUUUCUUUCUCUUUCUCCAACCCUAACAAUGGUGAAAAUGAAGACCACCCGAAAACCCCCCAAAAAACUCGCCCGCAAAUCGCCGGUGAAAUCUACCACUGAACACCUUCGGCGUCCAAGACCACCAAGAAGCGCCGCCUCUCCUCUGCAGCCUAAGGAGGCGUGUGUUGGGUGCCUCAAAAUGCAGGAGGAACUUGCCUAUAUGAACAAACUGCUUCAGCAGCUUCUUGCUCGGCAACGCGCUCAGGAUCGGUUGGCGAGACAGCGGCAUCGGGAACUCAUGUCCGCCCUUUCCAAUUCCAAUGCUCCUUAACCCUCCUGUAUACUGAUCUUUGAUGUUGGGUUAUGUUUUUUUUGUUGAUGUUGUAUGGUUGCAUUUUGGUACUUUGUGAAGAUUGUGAAUUGGUGGAUCACUGUAGCACCAGCAUCACUAGUCUCUCACUGUUUGAGGCUUUGAGCUACUAAAACAUUUGGUUUCUAGCUCUCAUUUUGUGUAGCUUUGGUACUUUUUGUCUGUUUUUGUAUGGUGAUUAUUGGUGCUUGUUGGAUUAUGCUAUGAGUGAAGUUACAUGUUAUUUUCCUAA